rnacentral:rRNA from 1 species
GAUGAACGCUAGCGGCAGGCCUAACACAUGCAAGUCGAGGGGUAACGAUGUCUUCGGACAGGCGACGACCGGCGCACGGGUGAGUAACGCGUAUACAACCUACCUUUAACAGGAGGAUAGCCCCGAGAAAUCGGGAUUAAUACUCCAUAAUAUUAUUUUACCGCAUGGUAAUUUGAUUAAAACUCCGGUGGUUAAAGAUGGGUAUGCGUGACAUUAGUUAGUUGGUGAGGUAACGGCUCACCAAGACCGCGAUGUCUAGGGGUUCUGAGAGGAUGAUCCCCCACACUGGUACUGAGACACGGACCAG